CGGCGGACGGGUGAGUAAUGCCUAGGAAUCUGCCUGGUAGUGGGGGACAACGUUUCGAAAGGAACGCUAAUACCGCAUACGUCCUACGGGAGAAAGCAGGGACCUUCGGGCCUUGCGCUAUCAGAUGAGCCUAGGUCGGAUUAGCUAGUUGGUGAGGUAAUGGCUCACCAAGGCGACGAUCCGUAACUGGUCUGAGAGGAUGAUCAGUCACACUGGAACUGAGACACGGUCCAGACUCCUACGGGAGGCAGCAGGA
rnacentral:rRNA from 1 species